CCUACGGGAGGCAGCAGUGGGGAAUCUUGCGCAAUGGGCGAAAGCCUGACGCAGCCAUGCCGCGUGAAUGAUGAAGGUCUUAGGAUUGUAAAAUUCUUUCACCGAGGACGAUAAUGACGGUACUCGGAGAAGAAGCCCCGGCUAACUUCGUGCCAGCAGCCGCGGUAAUACGAAGGGGGCUAGCGUUGCUCGGAAUUACUGGGCGUAAAGGGAGCGUAGGCGGAUAGUUUAGUCAGAGGUGAAAGCCCAGGGCUCAACCUUGGAAUUGCCUUUGAUACUGGCUAUCUUGAGUACGGAAGAGGUAUGUGGAACUCCGAGUGUAGAGGUGAAAUUCGUAGAUAUUCGGAAGAACACCAGUGGCGAAGGCGACAUACUGGUCCGUUACUGACGCUGAGGCUCGAAAGCGUGGGGAGCAAACAGGAUUAGAUACCCUGGUAGUCCACGCUGUAAACGAUGAGUGCUAGUUGUCGGCAUGCAUGCAUGUCGGUGCGCAGCUACGCAUUAAGACGACUCCGCCGUCGGGGAGGGUACGGUACGUCGACGAAGUUAAACGUUAAACGUAAACGAAAGUUAAGUAGGCGNGNGAGAGCGACGACGACGACGACGGAGGGAGGAGG
rnacentral:rRNA from 1 species